rnacentral:rRNA from 1 species
GGAAUAUUGGACAAUGGGCGGGAGCCUGAUCCAGCCAUGCCGCGUGCAGGAUGACUGCCCUAUGGGUUGUAAACUGCUUUUAUACGGGAAGAAACCUAUCUACGUGUAGAUAGCUGACGGUACCGUAAGAAUAAGGACCGGCUAACUCCGUGCCAGCAGCCGCGGUAAUACGGAGGGUCCGAGCGUUAUCCGGAAUCAUUGGGUUUAAAGGGUCCGUAGGCGGGCCAUUAAGUCAGGGGUGAAAGUCUGCGGCUCAACCGUAGAAUUGCCUUUGAUACUGGUGGUCUUGAGUCGUUGUGGAGUGGCCGGAACAUGUGGUGUAGCGGUGAAAUGCAUAGAUAUCACAUAGAACACCGAUCGCGAAGGCAGGUCACUAACAACGUACUGACGCUGAUGGACGAAAGCGUGGGGAGCGAACAGGAUUAGAUACCCUGGUAGUCCACGCCGUAAAC